UGAUUUGCUUCUGGGAAAACAAGCCUUGAGAGCUGCGGACUCGCCCCUAGUCACGGUGCUUAAGCAGGAGUCCCUGUAGAAACAAGCUGAAAACACCCCCUGCCUCACUGGUGGAUUCAUAUCCUGUGCGGCCUCUAGGAAGCGCUAGACACAUGCCAGCCAAGGUUGCUUGACAGAAGGCUGUGAAAGAAUGAGACUGCUAAGUAAGACCAGAGGGAGAAGACACUCAAAGGCAAGCGGGUCCAUCAAGUUGGAGUGGAGAGCAGGAUGAGAAAAAGACCAUUUCUCCAAGUGAGAAAGAUAGCACAUCGCUGAAGCCCGGAAGAAUUAGUCUGAACUGGAAUGUGUUUACCACUCCAACCUGCUUCUCCUAUCAGUUCCCUUCACGGGUACAAGGAAACAUCUGCCUACAUGUCCAUACGAGUAUUUCAUUACCAUUCUAAAAGUGUUAUCAGACGUUGUUGCCUCCUUCUUCACCAACCUAUCAUCGAUCAGCCUAAUAAAUGCCCAUGAGUAGUGUGUUCUUUAAGGUUAAGAUUGGUCAAAGAC
rnacentral:lncRNA from 1 species